CAACGACAGGUGCGUGCCACAGGUUGACUUUAAUAGUUUGAACGACUCCCGCGCCCGCUUGGUUUUUGAGGUUUAUCGUUAUCUCCAGCAGGUGGUGUGUGCUGUACUGAGAGGUUAAUACAAUUAUAUCUAAUGCAGUCAAGCUUCUCUGCAAGUGCAAGCACAUGACACGUUUUCCAUCAGCAGGGUGAUUAGAGAGGCAGAAUUUAAGACGUUGCUUCUGAUUUCAGCUUCUUUCCUUGCUGCUACCUGCUUUGCAAACAUGACACCAACAGGUCAGGACAAAUGCAUCAGUCUUCAGAAUCCUGCGCUCAUCAUUUUAGCCGAUAUGCUGUUGACCUGGUGCCAGCACUGCAAAACAGGACAAGUAAUUUAAUUUGCCAUCACCGCCAACCUUGAAGAGAGGAAUAUAGGCUAGCAGAAUCCCAAUUGGGAGCUAGACCAAUCCCGUGCUGUGCAGGACCCGCUACUGGAGAAAGUGUUUGUUGACUUUAUGGCACAGACUUGCACAGCUCUGUAGGGGAGCAGACUGUUAUUUAUGGCUCAAGGCCUCAUGUGAUUGGCUGAGGAGGGAUAUAAUUAUGUGGGGAAAUUUUAAGAAUCACAAUGGCUUCCACGUUGAAAUGACUGGUUGCUAGGUUACUAAGUGAGGAAGAUGUUUUUAAGUGAUUUUCAAAUACUGUUUUAGUUACUUACUAUCAGCCCAUUUCAACAAAACUUCUUAGUGUCGAAUAACCUCAUUAGCAGUUUAUGGCAUUGUGAGAUUGUUCUUCAUUGUUCUUCACACUUUAUUUUAAAGUGUGACUUUAAGCACUAAAAAUGACCGAUGCUAAGAAGCUAGCAGAGACAUCUUUUUAGAAACUAAUUUGGUCCCAUAGAGUCGAACAGUGCUGUCAGGUCACAGCAGGAAGGUUCUUGAUUCAGCUGAGGAAUUUUGUGCCCAUUCCUUGGCUCAUGGUGUAGGAUUUCUUUCCAAAAUAUACAGUAUUUUUUAUUAUGUGUAUCAGCCAGUCAGGUGUAACUCUUAAAGAUGAAUUAAUGGAAAGGCACAACAUAAUCAUGUAAAAAAAAUCUAAAUUCCAAUCUGAACAGUAAUGCAAGUAGAUGACUUGAGUGUAGAAGUAUGCAUAUCUUCCUGUCUAACAACAGUCUCUGGAUUUUGCAUUUGCUUCUGCUUCCGUAUUAUGCAUGUUGGUUGCACAGGGACCUCUGACAGACUAAUGGGAUUAAUUUGAAACACUCUUCUGCUUUUGGUGUUUUAUACAAAUGAAGCAAAAUUACAAACAUGCAUUUUUCGGCCUGCUACGCAUUGUGAGAUACUUCACCACUGUGGUGUGGCUAAUCCUGUUUUGUAUUCCAUACCAUGACUCGUGAUCACUGUCUUCAAUAAUACAUGUGUGGCCAUAUCACGAGAAAAAAAACCCUCCACGAUCUGAGGGGAAUUGAGGCUCAAAGAGUAAUCCUCAUCUAAUCCUUUUAUUUUGAAUACAUAGAAUGCCACAGUUAAUGGAGUGAUGUGUCUAUUUUUUUCAUAACUGCACUGACUAGCAGUAAUGCCUUGCCCUUUUUGUACUACCAUGUGUUGUCAGACAUACAUCAACAAACAGAUUGUGCUCAUCUGUUGUUUGUUUCUAAAGGAAAUGCUUGGUGUGUCAGAGUCAUUAACUAUGAUUCCUCCUUUCCUACGCAUUGGCAGUGCAGACGUUUAUAAUAAGUAGAUAAUUGAAACAUUUUAAGCGCAAAUAAAAGUACUAGGUUUUGCAUCAGUGGGUUAUAUGAUGUGGAGUUACAGCUCUACUUUCACCCUCUGUACAUCUCUUUGUCACAUGAACUUCAGCCAGAUGACUUCUAUGCCUGCAGCGUCUAGUUACAGUGAAGGUUGCUCUGAUUCUGGCUUGGGAUCCAUUUGCAAAUCUGCCUACAUAUCUGGUGACAGUUGGGGAAAGAUAAGGCACUCGUAAAUAAACUUG